rnacentral:rRNA from 1 species
AUUGAACGCUGGCGGCAUGCCUUACACAUGCAAGUCGAACGGUAACAGGUUAAGCUGACGAGUGGCGAACGGGUGAGUAAUAUAUCGGAACGUGCCCAGUCGUGGGGGAUAACGUAGCGAAAGCUACGCUAAUACCGCAUACGAUCUACGGAUGAAAGCGGGGGAUCGCAAGACCUCGCGCGAUUGGAGCGGCCGAUUUCAGAUUAGGUUGUUGGUGAGGUAAAAGCUCACCAAGCCUGCGAUCUGUAGCUGGGUUUAGAGGACGACCAGCCACACUGGAACUGAGACACGGUCCAGACUCCUACGGGAGGCAGCAGUGGGGAAUUUUGGACAAUGGACGCAAGUCUGAUCCAGGAAUGCCGCGUGCAGGACGAAGGCCUUCGGGUUGUAAACUGCUUUUGUACGGAACGAAACGGUGAGCUCUAAUACAGUUUGCUAAUGACGGUACCGUAAGAAUAAGCACCGGCUAACUACGUGCCAGCCGCCGCCGUAA